CCUAAUUUCUUCCCUCACCAUCGUCUCUGCCUCUUAGUCGUCUCUCAUCACUUCCUCUCUUACAAUACUCUUUUUCCCCUUAAUGGCAGUGGAUGCCGUCGUCUCUGGGAGCCGCCACAAGCAUUUCGUGGUAAUAAAUCUUCAACGCUUUCUCACGCUUUCCCCCCAUUCUCUGCUGCAUAGCUGCGCUUCACUGCCCUAACUGAUACUUGCUUCACUGGAACGGAAUUUGCUGUUAGACGCCGUUACACGGUGGCUCACUCGCCUAUUUCUCGCCAGUCACCUCCGGUCCGGUUACAAACCCCCCGCUGAACUGCAAUCGUCCGACCUACUCCACUUCGUGCACUGUUCCUCUUAUAUGUUCCAGUCAUCAUUAUGGAUAAGCCAUAACUCUUUCAUUAAUGGACGCAUAUUCCCUCAGUGUGCAACAUGAACAAACUACAUUACAAAUUCUUCAAGAUAAACUGGGAGCAGAGGAUCUUUGUAGUCAGGAUGCUGCUGCAUGGCUUGAAUAUUUUGAAUCAAAAGCUUUGGAACAGCAAGAAGCAGCACGUAAUGGAACUCCAAAACUGGAUGCAUCCAUUGCCAGCGAAGGUCACCUGAGGUAUUGAUUUAGCAAACGAUAUGGAGUUCAUUAAACGUUAUGAAUCUCUGCCAUAAUGUGUAUUAAAAGAAGAAGAUUUAAAAGAAAAAGAUUGCAUUACGGCGAAGUAUCAAGUAUCUUCAAGGUGGGAGGCUCUUUUCUAUAUGAAAGAUGCAGGCCAAGAAGAAAGCAACGCGGAGGAUUUUUGAGAGCUAGCCAACCCAACAGUUUGAAAACAGCAAGUUGUAAAUUAUCUUCUUUUAUACAAUAAUUUUCUUUUGUUUAAGAGGAGUGUAAGAUGUUUAUUUGAUGGGCAAUAUGCAAAUAAAAAAUUUUCUUCGAUUUAUUAUAA